rnacentral:rRNA from 1 species
AUUGAACGCUGGCGGCAGGCCUAACACAUGCAAGUCGAACGGUAACAGGAAGCAGCUUGCUGCUUUGCUGACGAGUGGCGGACGGGUGAGUAAUGUCUGGGAAACUGCCCGAUGGAGGGGGAUAACUACUGGAAACGGUAGCUAAUACCGCAUAACGUCGCAAGACCAAAGAGGGGGACCUUAGGGCCUCUUGCCAUCGGAUGUGCCCAGAUGGGAUUAGCUAGUAGGUGGGGUAACGGCUCACCUAGGCGACGAUCCCUAGCUGGUCUGAGAGGAUGACCAGCCACACUGGAACUGAGACACGGUCCAGACUCCUACGGGAGGCAGCAGUGGGGAAUAUUGCACAAUGGGCGCAAGCCUGAUGCAGCCAUGCCGCGUGUAUGAAGAAGGCCUUCGGGUUGUAAAGUACUUUCAGCGGGGAGGAAGGGAGUAAAGUUAAUACCUUUGCUCAUUGGCGUUACCCGCAGAAGAAGCACCGGCUAACUCCGUG